rnacentral:rRNA from 1 species
UGGCGUUCUUAGUUGGUGGGUUGCCUUGUCAGGUUGAUUCCGGUAACGAACGAGACCUCGGCCUGCUAACUAGCUUCGGGGGGCCUUGGCCCCGCCGACGCUUCUUAGAGGGACUGCUGGCGUUCCAGCCAGCGGAAGCGCGAGGCGAUAACAGGUCUGUGAUGCCCUUAGAUGUUCUGGGCCGCACGCGCGCUACACUGGCGCGGGCAACGAGCUUUCCGUCCCGCCGAGAGGCGCGACGACUCUCCCAACCCGCGCCGUGACGGGGAUAGAUCCUUGGAAUUUUUGAUCUUCAACGAGGAAUGCCUAGUAGGCGCAAGUCAUCAGCUUGCGUCGAUUACGUCCCUGCCCUUUGUACACACCGCCCGUCGCUCCUACCGAUUGGGUGUGCUGGUGAAGCGCUCGG